rnacentral:rRNA from 1 species
UACGUAGGGGGCGAGCGUUGUCCGGAUUUAUUGGGCGUAAAGAGCUCGUAGGCGGUUCGGUAAGUCGAAUGUGAAAUCUCCACGCUCAACGUGGAGGGGUCAUUCGAAACUGCCGUGACUUGAGUACGGUAGGGGAGUGUGGAAUUCCCGGUGUAGCGGUGAAGUGCGCAGAGAUCGGGAGGAACACCCGUAGCGAAGGCGGCACUCUGGGCCGAUACUGACGCUGAGGAGCGAAAGCGUGGGGAGCAAACAGG